AAAGGUAAGCUACUAAGAGCGAAUGGUGGAUGCCUUGACUGGUAAAGGCGAUGAAGGACGUACUAGACUGCGAUAAGCUACGGGGAGCUGUCAAGAAGCUUUGAUCCGUAGAUUUCCGAAUGGGGCAACCCAGUAUAUAGAGAUAUAU
rnacentral:rRNA from 1 species